AACGAACGCUGGCGGCAUGCCUAACACAUGCCAGUCGAACGAGACCUGGUCUAGUGGCGCACGGGUGCGUAACGCGUGGGAACCUGCCCUUAGGUUCGGAAUAACUCCCCGAAAGGGGUGCUAAUACCGGAUAAUGUCUUCGGACCAAAGAUUUAUCGCCUUUGGAUGGGCCCGCGUUGGAUUAGCUAGUUGGUAGGGUAAAAGCCUACCAAGGCGACGAUCCAUAGCUGGUCUGAGAGGAUGAUCAGCCACACUGGGACUGAGACACGGCCCAGACUCCUACGGGAGGCAGCAGUGGGGAAUAUUGGACAAUGGGCGAAAGCCUGAUCCAGCAAUGCCGCGUGAGUGAUGAAGGCCUUAGGGUUGUAAAGCUCUUUUACCCGGGAUGAUAAUGACAGUACCGGGAGAAUAAGCUCCGGCUAACUCCGUG
rnacentral:rRNA from 1 species